rfam:Ciona savignyi cont_17962, whole genome shotgun sequence.
GGCAGGAUGGCCGAGUGGUCUAAGGCGCUGCGUUCAGGUCGCAGUCUCCUCUGGAGGCGUGGGUUCGAAUCCCGCUCCUGUCA